rnacentral:lncRNA from 1 species
UAUGUGACAUCCCCAAAAUCUCGGCCAGAAAAGACCGAUUUUCAUUUAUGCUUUUAAAUAUUUUCAGAGUAAAUCCUUUUGAUUUGAAAGAGUUGCGGAAUUUGUUCCCAAAAACAAAACAUGAUAAAACAUUGUUUACCGAAGCAUUUCAUAAAAGAAAUGUAUUUUCAUUAUGAUCAAAACUCGGGGUGUCAUGUUCCGAUACAGACCAAUAAGCAUAAACGAAUACAUUACAAGUCAUAUAACAAAUAUAAACAUAUGCAGACUUGUAAACAAAACAACUUGAUGGUUCAUCCAUCUCAUGCCCUUCCGCCACUACCUGUAAUACAAUUUAAAACUGAGUGGGUCAGGCUUGGGAGCCUGGUGAGCAUAUAGGGUUUUCAACCCACAAUAAAUAUCAUAUUUAAUUUUCACCAACCAACAAUAACCCAAUUACCCAUUCCCGUUAUUCUCACUUUAAUGUCCCUAAAACAACUAACAUAAGGGACCUAGUCUAAGAAUAUUUCAUCGGGGCGACAACACAUGCUUCGGGGGUACCUCAGCAAUAUAAGUCAAAUAAGGCAACCAUGAGGGGGAUGGAGUACAGCGAAUGAACACCCAAGUUCAUUAACACCUACAGGUGGCGAACCUGCUAAUGUUUCCACAAGACUGUCUAGAAUAGCCAGUGGUCGUCAUCUAAACUCCGCUAGAUGACUCAAUCAAACAACAACGAGGCCUCUCAUCUGUUUAUUACACACCAACUGUCUACCCAUGUUCUACCCAACAUAUUAGUAGAUAAAAAUAUACAUUUGUAUACAUAGUUUAAAGAAAACCUGUAUAGCAUGCUUUAAUCAACACAUAUAUCACAUAACAGAUGAGGCACACACACACAUAACACAUAUCUCAUAAAGAAAUAAGCAGAUCUAUAAGAUAGAAGAGAGUGAAUACUCAUUCACACAUAACACAACCAAAUAUAUACACAUAGCACGUAUUUUUAUAUAAAAUACUUCGUAUUAUUGUAUUAGAAGAAAUAACUACACACUCACUUGAUCAGAAGAUGAUCGGACAGCACUACGGCUUAUAGAAGUAGUAAUCCACAGCAGAUCUGGAAGAUCUUCUCGAAAAUCGAACUUCUCGCGGGCAGAGCUUCGACUCGGGAACCGCACUUUUCGGGAUCUUCGGGAUCUCGGGACUUGCCUCGGGGCUAGAGUAUGAUACCGGGACUUCGGGGUAGCUUCGGGGGUUUUUGCACAGAGCUUCGACACGAAAACGAGAGGGAAUUGGCAAAAAUACCCGGAACCCUCGCAUCCUAUUUAUAGGAGGCUGGAGCCUCGGAGUACGCGGGGCGUACUGCGUUACGCGGGGCGUACUGCCCAAAACGUCAUUGCUUACGUAUCCGAAGUGCUCGAGUGCGAGUGUCGACAUCCCUCGGAGUACGCGGGGCGUACUCGAGUACGCGGGGCGUACCUCGGAUCAGAUCGGUGACUCCUUCGGAUAAUGCUUCCGAAUUUUGAUUUAAAUAUAAAUACAAAAUGAUUAAUAAACUUCGGAAAUUCAUAACUUCUUCAUACGAACUCCGUUUUCGACGUUCUUUAUAUCCACGCGAAGGUGAGACCACGCUCUACGACUUUCGUUUAGACUCCGUCGGCUAAUUUUGACUUUAUUUUUAUUAAUUAUUUUUAAUAGGCCGGGACAGAAACUUUCGUUAUAAAUUCAUAACUUCUUCGUUUGACGUCCGUUCUCGCCUAACUUUUUAUCGUUUCAAUACCAACAAUGAGAUCUUCGAUUCUCAUUUAGAUUGCUUCGGCUAACAACCGCUCGAUCUCAAAUCGAGUAAAACAGGCUGUAUAUCGCUAAGCCGGAACUUCGAUAAAUCAUAACUUCCUCAUACGAAGUCAGAUUUGGGCGUUCUAUAUAUAUUCGGAAACCUCGUUUCAACUACUACAACAUUAACCAAAUAUAUUAAGUUUAUUUUACACUUAAAUUUUGACGCUUAUUUUUAUUCUUAAUUAAUCAAACCACAUAAUUAAGCAAUUAAGCACAAAACACACAAUACUCAAAUAAUACAAUCUUAUUAUUUCAAAACGGGUUACAGAGGUUAACCUAGACUAUUACAUUGCUACAAAUGGCAAGCCCGAAACACAGGCGUUACAAUUCUCUCCACCUUAGAAUGAUUCCGUCCCCGGAAUCACACAUCAACAAACAAAUGCGGAUAGCGACUCAACAUGUCACUCUCCGUCUCCCAGGUGAGAUUCGGCCCAUUCGUGUGUUUCCAUCGGACAAGCACUAACCCAACCAUUUUGCGUCGCAACUUCUUAGUCUUUCGGUCAACAAUUGCCUCUGGUUCUUCAAUCAACCUUUUGUUCUCAUCAAUUCUCAAUUCAGAAAUUGGAAUUAUAUCGGGAACUUCUCCCGUGAACUUCCUCAAAUAACACACAUGAAAGGUGUUGUGAAUUCCAUUCAGUUCUUCGGGUAAUUCGAGCUUGUAAGCUUGAUUCCCAAUCCUCUGAAGGACUCUAAACGGUCCAAUAAACCUUGGACUCAACUUUCCCCUUUUACCAAAUCUUAUAAGUCCCUUCCACGGCGAGACUUUAAGCAAAACCGAAUCUCCAACCUCAAAAGUCAUCGGUCUUCGCUUCUUGUCAGCAUAGCUCUUUUGACGAUCUUGAGCUGCUAACAUUCUUUCCCUAAUUAUUUUCAACUUUUCAGCAGUUUGAUGAACCAACUCCGGUCCCAUAAACUGCUUUUCCCCAGCCUCAAGCCAACAAGACGGCGUACGACACUUCUGUCCAUACAAAGCUUGAUAAGGUGCCAUCUUAAUGCUCGAGUGAAAACUAUUAUUAUAGGAAAAUUCUACCAACGGUAAAUGUUCAUCCCAAUUACCUAGGAAUUCCAAGGUACAUGCUCUCAGCAUAUCUUCAAGUGUUUGUAUUGUUCUUUCACUCUGACCAUCAGUCUGCGGAUGGUAAGCUGUGCUUAAACAUAACUUGGUACCCAUUUCCUCUUGUAGACUUUUCCAAAACCUUGAGGUGAAACGGCUAUCACGAUCCGAUACAAUCGUUAACGGAACACCGUGAAGCCUCACAAUUUCCUUCACGUAAGAAUUCGCAAGCUUUUCCAUAGACCAUUUCUCCCUGGCCGCUAUGAAAUGCGCACUCUUAGUGAAUCGAUCAACGACCACCCAAAUCAUGUCGUGACCAUUCUUUGUUCUGGGCAGUUUAGUGACAAAAUCCAUAGCAAUGUCUUCCCACUUACCCAUAGGCACAGGCAAAGGUUCUAAACUCCCGUACGGUUUCUGAUGUUGUGUCUUGACUCUCGCACAAGUCACACACUCGGCCACAUACUUUGCAACAUCAAGCUUCAUCGUCGGCCACCAGUAGUAGGGUUUCAGGUCCCUAUACAUUUUAGUGCUACCCGGAUGAAUCGAGUACAUGGUCUUGUGAGCUUCUUCCAUCAGAAGAUCUCUAAUUCCUCCUGACUUAGGUACCCAAAUACGAUCUUGGAAUACCUUCAGUCCAUGACCGUUAGUACCAAACACCAACGUUUUACCCAAACGUUCCUCCUUUCGGUCAUUUUUCUCAGAAGCUUCCUCUUGAGCUUUCUUUAUACUUUCCACAAUGGUCGAGACAACUUCAAUUCUCAACGCUCUUGGCCUCUUCCUUUCAAGAUUGACCUUCCGACUGAGAGCAUCAGCAACAACAUUAGCUUUACCGGGGUGGUAAAGUAUCUCGCAGUCGUAGUCUUUAAGUAAUUCUAGCCAGCGUCGUUGCCUCAUAUUCAAUUCUUUCUGAUUAAAGAGGUAUUGGAGACUCUUAUGAUCAGUGAAAAGUUUGCACUUCGUGCCAUAGAGGUAAUGCCUCCAUAUUUUCAGAGCGAAAACUACCGCUGCCAACUCCAAAUCAUGAGUCGGGUAAUUCUUUUCAUGCUCUUUCAGCUGUCGAGACGCAUAUGCUAUCACCUUUUCUCUUUGGGUCAAAACACAACCCAAUCCAACACCAGACGCAUCGCUAUAAACAGCGAAGUCUUCAACUCCAUCGGGUAGAGAAAGUAUCGGUGCCUCGCAUAGCUUCUUCUUUAACUUCUCGAAUGCUUCUUUAUGCUUCUCACUCCAAGCAUAAGUAGCUCCUUUGUGGGUCAAAGCUGUUAAUGGAGUAGCAAUCGAAGAAAAGCCUUGGAUAAACCUUCGGUAAUAUCCGGCUAAUCCUAAAAAGCUUCGAAUCUCCGUGGGACUUUUCGGUUGUUCCCACUUCGUCACAGCUUCGAUCUUCGCUGGAUCAACCAUUAUCCCUUCUUGGUUGACCACGUGACCCAAGAAUUGGACUUCACGAAUCCAAAAAUCACAUUUGGAGAACUUCGCAUAAAGCUUCUCCUUCUUCAAAACUUCUAACACUUCUCGCAAGUGUCUGCCAUGCUCCUCCUGGCUUUUCGAGUAGAUCAGAAUGUCGUCUAUGAACACUAUCACGGAUUUAUCAAGGAAAGGAUUACAAACCCUAUUCAUCAAAUCCAUGAACGCUGCUGGAGCAUUGGUUAGUCCAAACGACAUAACCAAGAACUCGUAGUGUCCAUAUCUAGUUCUGAAUGCAGUCUUCUCGAUAUCUUGCUCUCUUACUUUCAGCUGAUGAUAUCCUGACCUAAGAUCGAUCUUCGAGAAAUAGCUCGAACCUUGCAAUUGAUCAAACAGGUCAUCAAUCCUCGGCAACGGAUAUCUAUUCUUUAUUGUUGCCUUGUUCAGCUCUCUGUAAUCGAUGCACAUUCUCAUACUUCCAUCUUUCUUCUUUACAAAUAACACCGGAGCUCCCCAGGGCGAUGAACUAGGUCUAAUGAAACCUUUGUCCAAUAACUCCUGAAGUUGCAUCAUUAGCUCCUUCAUCUCCGUCGGUGCUAAUCGAUAAGGUGCUUUUGCUAUUGGCGUGGUUCCUGGUAACAAGUCUAUUCUGAACUCCACUUGUCUAUCAGGUGGUAAUCCAGGAAGAUCCUCGGGAAAUACUUCCGGAUAAUCACACACCACUGGAAUGCUCUGCAUCACCUUCUUUUCUUUCUUAGCAUCAAUCACGAAUGCUAAAUAUGAUGUACAUCCCUUGGUCAAACACUUUCUGGCUUUCAUUAGAGAAAUGAUUCCAGAAUUCACUCUGCGUUUGUCCCCAUACACCAUAAACGAAUCUUUUCCAGGCGGGUUUACUUUAACUAUCUUCUUCUUGCACAAAAUUUCGGCAUCAUUGGCGCUAAGCCAAUCCAUUCCCAAGACGAUGUCGAAACCAUUUAGUUCGAUAGGCAAUAAUUCCUCGAGAAACUUAUUCCCAUUAAGGUCGAUCAAGACGUUUUUCAUACGAUGGCUAACAGGUACAAACUUGCCACUAGCUACUUCGACUAAUAAAGCAUUAUUUAGUCUAUCAACAGGCAAAGCUAGCUUUCUACCAAACUCAUGCGAAAUAAAGGAGUAGUUGGCUCCAGAAUCAAACAAUAUAUGAGCAGGUAAUUCGUUUACGAGAAAGGUACCUGAAGCGACAUCAGCUUCAUCUUUCGCAGCCUCAAGUGUCAUCUGGAAGGCUCUCGCCUUCGGCUUUGGUGGAAUGUUGGGCCUAGCUGCCUCCUUCUUCUUCGGACAGUCUUUCAAAAUAUGCCCCUCUUCAUUACAACCAAAACACAUCCUUUUGUUGUUCGGACAUUCAUUGGCAAAAUGUCCAACCUUUCCACACUUGUAGCAGGUCACAUCCUCGCUACAUUUCCCAAAGUGCUUUUUCUUACACUUAUCACACCACUUUGCUUCGCCUCCUUUUCCUCCAAACUUUUUCGAAUCAGAUUUCGAAAAUUUGCUCUUCUUACUGGAACCAGAUGUUCCUUCAAACUUCCUUUUCUCACCAACCUCAACCUUGACGGUGGUUCUCCCCUUGAUCAUGUUCUCCACAGACUUGGCAGCCCAGAUAGCUGCCUCUAGAGUAAGUGCCUGACGUACCGGCACCUCGUACUCCCAUGGAAGUCCCUUCGCAUACCGAUCCACCUUUGUCAGCUCGUCUGGAACGAUACGCAAGGCAAACUCCAUCUUAUCGGUGAAGUUAUUGGUGUAUUCAUCAACUGACAUGCUACCCUUCGUCAAUGUCAAAAACUUAUUCUCCAACUCCAACAGAUUUUGAGCCGAGCAGAACUUGCGCUUGAACUGCACCAAGAACUCUGCCCAUGACAAUUGCAGUGGCUCAUUAGGGCUUAAGGUCUUCCCUAGAGUGUUCCACCAACGAACGGCUCCACCUCGGAAUUGUCGCACGGCAUAGAUAGUCUGCAACUUACCUCUGCAGCCACAUGUCAUAAAGGCUAACUCCAUUUCGGAGAUCCAAUCCAUAACCCCAAUCGGAUCCUCCUUUCCAUUGAAGGUCGAUGGUUUGCAAGUCAAAAAGUCCUUGUACUUGCAUCCCAUUCCAUCAUUCCUUCCUUCAUGGUUAUCUUGCCUAACUAUCGGUGGGUUGGCUGGACCAACAGACCCACUGAAGUUUCCACCUUCCGAGUGCCCUUCAUUUAAUUCAGGCUCUUCCACACGAAUCGACAGUUCUUCACGAUUUUGUUGAAGCAACCGUCUAGUUUCAUCCAUCUGACGAUCCAACAUCGUCUGAAUCAUCAAUUGCACACCAGCCAUGGUUAUUGGCUCAGGUGCUGCUGCUACGACAGGUAUUGGCUCAAUCACUGGUGGUUGAUUCCUGUUUUCGUCAGCAUUUCCAACUCCACUUCUUGUUCUCACCAUUUUGAUCUACACCCCGAAUAAGGUGAAAUUAGAUCCUCAAUCAUGAUAGAUAUUCAAAUCAUCCUUAUCACUCCGAAACGUUUACAUGCUAGUUCUAAUAUCGUAGACGUACGCUUAGAAUCCUACACACAUAAGGUUUCUAGAUCCGGUCGGCAACAGACCAUAGAUCCGAACAAAUAAUAUCAUAUAUGGCAACAUAUAACAUUUAGCACAUAAAGCAUUUUAGGCAACUUUCCUAAAAUAAACUAGUGCUCGUGUCUAAAACACAACAGACACACAUCUCAAAACUUCACUUAGCAUUCUAAGUUUAAGUCUAGAAAUCCUACAAAUUCCUAGUUCGCUUAAACUAAUGCUCUGAUACCAACUGUGACAUCCCCAAAAUCUCGGCCAGAAAAGACCGAUUUUCAUUUAUGCUUUUAAAUAUUUUCAGAGUAAAUCCUUUUGAUUUGAAAGAGUUGCGGAAUUUGUUCCCAAAAACAAAACAUGAUAAAACAUUGUUUACCGAAGCAUUUCAUAAAAGAAAUGUAUUUUCAUUAUAAUCAAAACUCGGGGUGUCAUGUUCCGAUACAGACCAAUAAGCAUAAACGAAUACAUUACAAGUCAUAUAACAAAUAUAAACAUAUGCAGACUUGUAAACAAAACAACUUGAUGGUUCAUCCAUCUCAUGCCCUUCCGCCACUACCUGUAAUACAAUUUAAAACUGAGUGGGUCAGGCUUGGGAGCCUGGUGAGCAUAUAGGGUUUUCAACCCACAAUAAAUAUCAUAUUUAAUUUUCACCAACCAACAAUAACCCAAUUACC